rnacentral:rRNA from 1 species
UACGUAGGGGGCAAGCGUUGUCCGGAUUUAUUGGGCGUAAAGAGCGUGUAGGCGGCUUUGCAAGUCGGGUGUGAAAGCCCUCAGCUUAACUGAGGAAGUGCGCCCGAAACUGCAGAGCUUGAAUACCGGAGAGGAUGGCGGAAUUCCCCAAGUAGAGGUGAAAUUCGUAGAUAUGGGGAGGAACACCGGUGGCGAAGGCGGCCAUCUGGACGGCUAUUGACGCUGAGACGCGAAAGCGUGGGGAGCGAACAGG